rnacentral:lncRNA from 1 species
AUGAUGUCAUCAGCAUUGUCUGCAGGGGGGAGGGGUCCUGAUCGGCUGACUGUGGAUCACCGGCUCCAGGAAGGGGGUGCCUCGUGGACAUCUCGGUGUCCCCCACACCCUGCACUUCACAGACACACACCCUCUUCCCGGCGCCAGGACAAAUCCCACUCAGAGAUGUGUCCCCGUGGGGUUAAAACGACACGAGGCCCUCAUACCAGGGAGCUCCGCCACCGCAUCCCCAGGAUUGGACACAUACAUGAAAAGUCCCACGGUCCCUGCCACCAACCCUCGAGACAGACAGCAGGCUCCAGCCCCUCUCUUAUCCCAGGCUCAGCAGUUCUGGAUACUUCUUGGGUAGCAGCACUGUCCAGGGACGAGAUGAUGCAUCCUGAAGCAGACAGGCAGGGCCAGGAUGUCCUGGCGCCUGUGUCCUCAGCCUGUGGUCCGGUGACCUCCCCAGCCUGUAAAGCCGAGUCACGUCUGAGAAGGAACUUGGUUUUCUCUCAUUUGGAUAUUCAUUGGCCAGACAUGUGUCCACACUGCAGCCGGCAGGGUCCCUGCCUCAGGUGUUGCAACUUCACGCAUUAAUGAGACUUACUGGCCUUCCAUGUCAACCAGAGAUUGCCUACAUAGAAAUCGGGACGGAGAGGAGUCGAGUCCACAGCGUGUCCCAGCCUGGCCAGCCCACAGGGACAACACCAACAGUGAGG